AUUAGCACAGGUUCCUGUACAUGUAUUUGCUGCUCUUUCAUUUAGUUCUCAGUUGCGGUGCUUGCAAAGCGAACGUGUGCGUUUUCACAAAAGUAGAUGAACGGGAAAAUUUAUUUAGAUUAAAACAAAAAAAAAAAAAAAAACUUGCCUUCUUUUCUGCUCUGUGUGUGUUAUAUUUGAUUGUGUGUGAAGAUGUAUGCUUGUAUGCGUGUGCCACUAAAGGUAUCAAUAAUGAAACCUAAUGUUUUUAAAACAAUCAACAGUGAACUGUAAAUAUCAACAAUAAAAAAAAUAAAAAUAAAAAAACAAAAUAACAACAGCAGCAACAACAAUAGUAGUAAAAAAAUAAGAAUAACAUCAGCAAAGAAUGUCAAUUUAAUUUGACAGUUGAA